CUCACUUCAAUAUUGUGUACAUCCAAUUCACUGCAGAGCAUCCAAGACUGUGAUCAGUUGGAGAGCGGUUGCUUCCUACCAAGCGACCUUUACAAUCAUCAUUUGAUGAAAAGCGGGUUGCCCAGAGGAUGACGGUGUUGCACACUCAACCCCUGGAUGAGCAGUUGGCUGCUGGAUUAGUAGGAGUAACAUUAAGGAACACGCUGUGCAGCAAGGAGACACUUAAACUGCAUGUAACUCAACUCCUCGCUGCUCUAGGAGGACAUCACACUAUCUCCCAAGUCAUAUGAGCCGAUACUUGAAAACUUUCCCUCACCUUGAAUGCAUGAAUACAGUGUGUAUCUGUUGUGUAUAUCCAAGUAAUAUGCUUGCAAACUUUGAAGGUCAAAUGUUUUUAGUCAAUGGUCUUUAUAGUUAUAAAAAAAAAAAACAGUGUAACACAAGAAAAACUCAGAGAAUGCAUGAAAUUCUACUGGGAAUCUUAUCUCUGUAUGUCUGAAUUGAUGCUUGUUAUGUGUGUCGAGUGUAGCUUUAAGCUAUUGUACAAUAAAAUGUUGAAUUGAUCUGCUAAAUUCAAGGUCUAAGAGGUCCUUUCAAG